GCAAGUUGAGCGCUGAAGGUUGGUACUUGUACCGACUGGAUGAGCAGCGAACGGGUGAGUAACGCGUGGGGAAUCUGCCUUUGAGCGGGGGACAACAUUUGGAAACGAAUGCUAAUACCGCAUAACACUUUAAACACAAGUUUUAAGUUUGAAAGAUGCAAUUGCAUCACUCAAAGAUGAUCCCGCGUUGUAUUAGCUAGUUGGUGAGGUAAAGGCUCACCAAGGCGAUGAUACAUAGCCGACCUGAGAGGGUGUCGGCCACAUUGGGACUGAGACACGGCCCAAACUCCUACGGGAGGCAGCAGUAGGGAAUCUUCGGCAAUGGACGAAAGUCUGACCGAGCAACGCCGCGUGAGUGAAGAAGGUUUUCGGAUCGUAAAAUCUGUUGGUAGAGAAGAACGUUGGUGAGAGUGGAAAGCUCAUCAAGUGACGGUAACUACCCAGAAAGGGACGGCUAACUACGUGCCAGCAGCCGCGGUAAUACGUAGGUCCCGAGCGUUGUCCGGAUUAUUGGGCGUAAAGCGAGCGCAGGUGGUUUAUUAAGUCUGGUGUAAAAGGCAGUGGCUCAACCAUUGUAUGCAUUGGAAACUGGUAGACUUGAGUGCAGGAGAGGAGAGUGGAAUUCCAUGUGUAGCGUGAAAUGCGUAGAUAUAUGGAGGAACACCGGUGGCGAAAGCGGCUCUCUGGCCUGUAACUGACACUGAGGCUCGAAAGCGUGGGGAGCAAACAGGAUUAGAUACCCUGGUAGUCCACGCCGUAAACAUGAGUGCUAGAUGUAGGGAGCUAUAAGUUCUCUGUAUCGCAGCUAACGCAAUAAGCACUCCGCCUGGGGAGUACGACCGCAAGGUUGAAACUCAAAGGAAUUGACGGGGGCCCGCACAAGCGGUGGGCAUGUGGUUUAAUUCGAAGCAACGCGAAGAACCUUACCAGGUCUUGACAUACUCGUGCUAUUCCUAGAGAUAGGAAGUUCCUUCGGGACACGGGAUACAGGUGGUGCAUGGUUGUCGUCAGCUCGUUCGUGAGAUGUUGGGUUAAGUCCCGCAACGAGCGCAACCCCUAUUGUUAGUUGCCAUCAUUAAGUUGGGCACUCUAACGAGACUGCCGGUGAUAAACCGGAGGAAGGUGGGGAUGACGUCAAAUCAUAUGCCCCUUAUGACCUGGGCUACACACGUGCUACAAUGGGUGGUACAACGAGUCGCGAGACAGUGAUGUUUAGCUAAUCUCUUAAAACCAUUCUCAGUUCGGAUUGUAGGCUGCAACUCGCCUACAUAAGUCGGAAUCGCUAGUAAUCGCGGAUCAGCACGCCGCGGUGAAUACGUUCCCGGGCCUUGUACACACCGCCCGUCACACCACGGGAGUUGGGAGUACCCGAAGUAGGUUGCCUAACCGCAAGGAGGCGCU
rnacentral:rRNA from 1 species